rnacentral:misc_RNA from 1 species
AACGCACAUUGCGCCCUUUGGUAUUCCGAAGGGCAUGCCUGUUCGAGCGUCAUUAUCACCCCUCAAGCCCCGUGCUUGGUGUUGGACGGCCUGGUCGAGGAGCCCUCGACCCCUCCUAAAGACAAUGACGGCGGCCUGUGGUUCCCCCGGUACACUGAGCUUUUAACUGAGCACGUAUCGGACAAGGGCGCCCAGGACCCGGUCCUCUCCUUUCACAAGGAAACUUUUUUCAAGGUUGACCUCGGAUCAGGUAGGAAUACGCGCUGAACUUAA